rnacentral:rRNA from 1 species
UACGUAGGGUGCAAGCGUUAAUCGGAAUUACUGGGCGUAAAGCGUGCGCAGGCGGUUUUGUAAGUCUGUCGUGAAAUCCCCGGGCUCAACCUGGGAAUCGGCGAUGAGACUGCAAGGCUAGAGUUUGGCAGAGGGGGUAGGAAUUCCACGUGUAGCAGUGGAAAUGCGUAGAUAUGUGGAGAACACCGAUGGCGAAGGCAGCCCCUGGUCAAACUGACGCUCGAUGACCACGAAGCGUGGA